UACAGAGGGGGCAAGCGUUGUCCGGAAUUACUGGGCGUAAAGAGCUCGUAGGUGGUUUGUCGCGUUGUCCGUGAAAACUCACAACUCAAUUGUGGGCGUGCGGGCGAUACGGGCAGACUGGAGUACUGCAGGGGAGACUGGAAUUCCUGGUGUAGCGGUGGAAUGCGCAGAUAUCAGGAGGAACACCCGUGGCGAAGGCGGCUCUCUGGGACGGUACUGACGCUGAGACGCGAAAGCGUGGGGAGCGAACAGG
rnacentral:rRNA from 1 species